AUCCAGAGGACACAUUGCCUCUUGUCUCACAUUGGGCAGGGGACCUGAUGCAGGACAAAGGACAAGGAUGAACUUGGCAGUUCAUGAACCAGCACUUCCAAACUGCUGUGAUUUAAAGAAGUUAAGUUUCUUUCAGCAAUAUAUUCAGUUUCAGUUCUCCACAAUGAACUGAAGAGAGGUAACACUUGAUUUCCCUUUUGACAAGAACAACAUGCUGCUGCAGAUCAGACCAUUUCUCCAAUUUGCUGUGAUCAUUUUGAUAUGAUGUCUUCCAAAGUGCUUGCAACUCAGCCUAGCUUGAUACAUCUUCUGGUUAAAGAAGUGCAGUUUCUGUUCUGUUAUUCAACUCAUUAAUGAAACUAUUGGACUAGUACUAGCCCGAAGAUAGACACCUGUAGAACCUAACCUAAAUUAUCCUUCUGGUUUGACAGUGAACCAUCGUUAACUACUCUGAGCAUGGUUUUCCAUUGAAGCUAAUGUAACAUGAAUG